AAGUUGUAGGUAUUAAGUUCAAACAUCACUUCAUUGUUCAUUACAACACAUUUGGUGACCAAGUUGGGUGACAGACUCAUCACCACUUAUUUUUAUGUUAUCUCCUUUUAUACUGUCACGCAGUUAGUACUGAAUAGUAAGAUAUAAUUAGUGGGCGUAACAAAUUUUCGGCCAUGCUAUCAGUGCUUGGCCACCUUUCAUUUUUUUAGUUUUCCAUCCGGUAUGUAGUACUUGUAUUGGAGCUUAAUUAUAUUCGGAUUCGUGUCAGAUAGGGUCCUUUUCGGAGGAUAGCGCUCCCUAUCAAGAAAUUUUUUAUACUCAGAACUCGAACUCAAGACCUCUGGUUAAAGAAGCAGCAGCCUCAUCUAUUACACUACAUCCUUUGGUGGCCGUCACCUUUUACAUUGUGAUGGCAAUUAAUCAUUGAUCCGAUUAAUGAAAUAAACUAUGCUGAAAUUUUCAAAAUUCAGUAAUUUUGAACCUUUACUAGUAAAAAAUUCAAAUUCUAUGAAUGCUUCCAAUUUUUUGAACCUAUGCUAACGCAAAGUCCAGGGAAAUUCAUGAAUGGUACAUGAUUUUUGAAUUCACCUUAUACUUCAAUAAUUAUAAAUAUUUUAAUACAAAAUCUAGAAAAAAUUACUGGGUUUUAAACCUUUACUAGUACAAAGUCCAGGAAUGAUUCAUGAUUUUUGAAUUCACACUAUACUUCAACAUUUUUUUAACUUUUAGACACAAAAUCUAGAAAAAAUUACUGAUUUUUGAACAUUUACUAAUGCAAAAUCCAAGAACGACUCAUGGUUUUUGAAUUAACAUUAUACUUUAGCAAUUUUUAACCUCUUCAAGAAAAUUUACCUGUUUUUGAACCUUUAUUAGUGCAAAACAAAAAACAUUCAAGUAUGAUUCAUGAUUUUUGGAUUCACAUAAUACUUCAACAAUUGAGAGCUACUACUUCAGAUCAUUCAAAUUCUAGGAACAAUUACUCGAUUUUGAACUUAUAAAUAUUCAAAGUCCAGUAAUCAUUUUUAGAUUUAUUUCAUAGUAUUUUAUAUGGCGAAAUUAUUGUCUAAACAUGUAUUUCUGCAUUAAUAAGUGGCUAUUUUGCUAAAAUAAUUUAAAAUACGUAUAAGCUUUUAACAGCCGACCUAAAAAGUAGCUAUUUACCAAUUUCUCUCGAUUAGUAAUGCAACCUAAACUAGUAAUCUUGUUUUUAACGGACCCGUUUGAAUCGGUGGAAAUUAAAAAAUAGUCAGAUUUACAAAUGGUUAUUCAAAAAUAGCCAUAGUUUCAAAAGUAAUUGAAAUUUAGAUACUUUUAUGUAAAGAUAAAUUUGAAUGAAAACACAAUUCAAAAUUCAAAAAGAUACUCUAGCAUAAUGUACUAGUGGAGUUCCACUAUAUUAUACCAGGACUCCAGUCUAAUAUACUGAAGUUCCAGUAUAGUAUAUCGGUCCAAUAUAAUAUACUGGAGUUUGGAACACCGGUGCUCCAGUCUCCAGUAUUAUACUGGAGCCAGCAAAGUAUACCGGUCCAACAUAAUAUUUUAGAAGUUCAUACAUAGGUGCACCGAACCCAGUAUAUUAUGCUGGACCGGUCUCUGUUGCAGCAAAAUGGUGACUAUUUUUUAAUGACUUGGCAAACGAUGACUAUUUUUAAAUGAUCAAUUCGAAAACUGACUAGACCGUGCUAUUUUAUCGUUUGAAUACCAUAUUCGGACACCGUUAUUUGUAGAGAAAUUUUCAUAAAACACUAUCUUUUAGUAGUAAUUAGCCAUUUAUAGAUUUCAUUCGAUAUAUUACGGGUUAUAGAUACUUUUUUUGUGGUUAUAUGAUGUAUAGCUUCUUGGGUAAGUGUCCUUAACUUCAUUCCCUCGUAAUUUCUUUAUCUAAUCACUAAUUUCAUAGCCCUAAAUCAUGAAUUCAAGGUAGAAAAUGGGGGUUUUGGGUAGAGUUGGGGAUUUUGGGUGAUUCAACCUCAAUUUGGGGUCGAAUCUUGAAAUAAAUUGCAUAUUUAAACUCGUGGGGUUAUGGGUGAAGGGAUUUUGGUCCGAGCCUCGAGUUUGGACCAUAUGGGCUCGGGAAUCGGAUUUUGGUAUUUUUGGAAUAAUGAUAAGAAAUUCAUUUCUAGGCUAUGAAAUUGUGUCUUUGAGCCAUUAUUGAUAAUGUUGAACUAAAUACAAUAGCAAAAAUAAGCGUGAAUCAGGGAAGUCCAGCUAAUCAGUUAUUGCAUUCGAGUGUAUUCGACUGUAUUCAUAGCGUGAAACAUGGAAUUCAGCUGGACAGAUCACUGUAUUCGGCUAUAAAAAUAUUCACGGCGUGAAACAUGGGAUACACUAUUUAACAUGGAAAGUGUAUCAACUAACAUAAUAGACUACUAAUAUAACUCAACAAAUUCAAUUAUAACACACAAAAUUUAUAUUUUCGAUUAUAAAAAAGAUUCUCAACUGGAAAACCCCUAAAAAUAUAGCAAUAUUCAGAGAAAAUUAUAUAAUACAUCUGAAUGCAUAAAUUAUAUUAAUUGAAAAAUAUAGAAUACAUAAAAUACAACAGGAUACAUUGAAAUACAAUGAAAAAAGACAGUGAAUAUAAUGAAAUACACGAAAUAUAAUGAAAUACAAUUAAAAAAAGGUAAUGAAUACAAUAAAAUACAUCGAGAUACAUUAAAAUACACUUUAAAAAAGUAAUAGAAUCUUCAAGUUGUUCAGUCCCAAACUUCAUCAUCUUUGUCAAGAACAACCCUAAUGUCGUCUCGUCGAGUUGCAACCUAACCAAACAUCUUUUGCAACACAAAUACUAUUUCAUCGUCUUCAAAUAACCAAAGCCCAAACUGAAUAAAACUUGAUUCCAAUAUUUUGGCAAUAACUUGAUUCCAAUGUUUAGCCGCAUCAUGAAGAAACAUAAUCAAUAAGAAAGGCUUGUUUUAGGUGUUGCAUCAGUCAACCUAUGACUACAGAUUGAUAUGGAAAGAGGAAAUAGUAGGCAGUAAGAGCAAGAGUAAAGAAUUUGGGAAGGCAAAACAAAACUGAUACCAAAGUUUUGCCAUUUGUAUCUACGAGGCAUAAUUUCGUCAUUUAGAUAGAAAAAAGGGAGAAAGUUAAGAUAAAAAUUAUCUGUACGUUGGAUCUUCUUUUUUGUUCCUUUUCUCCUUGGAUUGAAGAUUCUGAUUAGUGAUAAUAGAAGUAUGUGUAAUUAUACAUGUCCUUUUGUGGCUGUAUUUAGAUACAUGCCGGAAACCUAGCGAAUUUGGGUGGGAGAAGAGGUAUGAAUUGUGAGUUUGUGGGAGAAGAGAAUAUAUUUAGAUACAUGCCGGAGACCUAGCGAAUUUGGCAGGGAGAAGAGGUAUGAAUUAUGAGUUUGUGGGAGAAGAGAGUAAAGUGUAUGCAAAGAGAGAGAGAACGUGGUUAGUAAGAUUUACGGUGAUUAUGUGAGAGAAAAAAAGAUUAAAAAGGAGAGAGAAAAAUAUUAUUUAGCAUAUAUGAUACCUUAGGUACAGAAUGUAACUAUAAUUAAAUAUUUUUCUAUAAAGUAUAAAAAAUAUUUAUAGAAUAUAAUAUUUUAAAAUUAUAUUUAUUAAAAAUAAAUAUGGUACUAAACUUUUCUAUAAGGCGUAAAAUUUUCUUAUUUGUACUCUAUCGGCCCAAAUAGAUUUAACAACUGGGCCCAUGAUCUGUUCCAGACUUCCAGGUGAAUUCCGAACCCAAUUUUCGUCAAUCAACUGUACUCCACUUAUUAGUUCAGUUAAUUGCUUUGAUGAGUUAUAUCAGAUCAAUGAGAUAUUGUCACGUGGCAGAUAUGGAAUUUAACUAAGUCGGUUAGUCAAUUUUUUGGUCUCCCGCUCGGCUCCCCAUUUUUAUAUGAACCAUGGUAGUUAUUACAGGGCCAAUCGCAAAGAUUGACACUGCACGACAAUAGCAAACACACAAUUACUCAGUCACAAUUUUCGUACACAGAGUCUCAUACUUAGAAUUUUCAGACUUUAGCCAAAACUAAAGAACACAUAGAAUUAUGGGUAAAACCCAACCUUUAUUAAUUCUCACAGAAUAUACAAAGGACUCACGUUUAGACUUGGCUCACAAUAUGCUACUUCCUUAGCCAAACGAAAUUACACACAUAAAAAGGGGCUGGCAAUGGCAGUUUUACAAAAGUAGCAGUUGGGCCAGUUUUGCCAAUGUGCCAAUGCACAUGACUUAAGUAAAAACAAGGAACCAAUCUGUUUGAAUUCGAAAUUCAAACCCUUCCCACGAAUUUGGACUUGUCUUCAGCAUUUUAGCCAACUUCUCAUGUGCCUUGCACAUGGUCUUAACUUCCACAGCACAUGCCAAGCACACUUCUUCAGUCACAUGUCUUUCACACUUGCUUUCCAGCUUUUGCCCACACUUAGCUUCUGCCUUGCCCUAUUUUGGACCAUGCCUCACCCAUAAUUCAUAGCUACGCCUUGCCAUAAAUUAAGUCGUCCCACUGAUCCGCGCAUGCCUUUGUCAAGUUCCAUGCCUUCGUUUGUCAUUGACAAUGCCCGCGAACCGAGGCUGCCUUGCCAACACUCAAGCUGCCUUGCCUAAGUCCAUCACUAACUUAGACAUACGCCCAGCCUUGUACAUUGCUUGCCAACACUUCCACGAACCCAUGUCAAGGGGCAAUGCACAAUCCCUUGACACGAAUUCUGCCCGACGUCCGUCAAGUCUUAAUAUUAGGGGAUAACAAACCACCCCCACUAGUUGAACUCGACGCCCUCGUCGAGGCUGAUUUCAAGUAGUCCUCAAUUUGAUCUUCGAAUUGCUAUAAUGAAUUCCCUUUCUCCCAAGUUGCAUCUGACUCGGUCUUGCUUUUCCAUUGAAUCAAAAACUCUGUCCGCCUAUUCUUUUUGUGCAUCCCAAGUACCCGGUGGUCCAGAAUUGUCUCAAUAUCGUCCUCAAUCUGAUUGCAUACUUCAGGAGGAGAUUUCUUGAUUUUAUGCCUAUCAGGAUCUUCAGGAUCUUCCACAUACGACCGCAAAUAACUCACAAGGAAAGUAGGGUGAAUAUUCAUUCUUUCCGGCAACUUCAACCGGUAUUCAACUUCGCACACCUUCUCGAUCACUUCAAAUGGACCAUCACAUCAUGAAACCAAUGCUCUAUGCCUUACCCUGCUAUCAAUCUUCUUCUAGAUUUGAGGAGUAAGUUUCAGCAACACCUUGUCGCCCACUUUGAACUCUAACGGACGCUUAUGUUGAUCAUCAUAUUUCUUCAUGCGUUUCUGUGCCACGUUCAAACUAUCUGCAGCUUCAUCCAUCAUCCUUUGUCUAUCAAACCCAUAACGAUAUGCUUCAAGACAUUUCCCACCAGUCUUUUGUUGCACCAUCUUCGUUGGUAGCCUUGACUGCUUUUCCAAAACGAUCUCAAAAGGGCUCUUUUCCGUGGAUGAAGACUUGUGCAAGUUGUAAGACAUCUGUGCACAAUCUAAUAAAUCAGCCCAAUUUCGUUGACUCGCAGUCACGAAAUGUCUGAAGUACUCUUCUAGCAGAUGAUAGAUUCGUUCAGUUUGGCUAUUAGUUUGGGGAUGGUUGGCUAUUGAGAACUUCAAAUUGCAGUCACAAAAUGUCUCAAAUACUCUUCCAGCAGAUAAUUGAUUCGUUCGGUUUGGCCAUCAGUUUGGGGAUGGUUCGCCGUUGAGAACUUCAAAUUUGUGCCAAGCAAAUUGAACAAGUAAGUCAAAAAUCUACCUGUGAACCUUGCAUCCCGAUCACUAAUAACAUCCUCUGGAUACCGAAAUGCUUCACCAUAUUCUUGAAAAACAAUUCUGCAGCAACUUUAGAAGGACAUUACGUUGGAGCAGCAACAAAGACAACAUAUUUUGAAAAUCUAUCGACCACCACCAUAAUCGAAGAUAGACCAUUGACUUUAGGAAAUCCGCUGAUAAAAUCCAUUGAAACGGAUUGCCAUGCCUCUUCAGGAAUUGGCAAAGGUUGCAGCAAACCUGCCUCUUUCUUCCGUUCAGUUUUAUCAAGUUGACAAACAAGACAACUUAGCAUAAGCUUCCACGUCUUGUUCCAUCUUUGGCCAGAAAUAAUAUCGCGACAACAGCGCCAUCAUCCUCUCAAUGCCUGGAUGACCAGCCCAAAGUGUAUCAUGCAUCUCUUUCAGCAACUCACGACGCAGUCUGUCACCAAGUGGUACAACGAUUCUCCCCCAUUUGAAAUGGAGAAGAUCGUCCUCGAUCCAGUGCCGUCUCACAGUACCUUCCUUCACAUGAUUCAUCUUCUUUAUGUACAAUGGAUCAUUCAUAGAAGCUGACUUGAUCUUAAUAACAAAAUAUGACUCAAGUCUCGCAAUGGAAUAAACAACAACAAAGACUUCCUUUCGACUCAAGGCAUCCGCGACUUAGUUGUGCUUUCCCGGCUUAUGCUCCCACACAAAAUCAUAUUCUGCUAAAAAUUACUACCAACGUGCUUGCUUUGGACUCAAUUUCUUCUGAGUUAUGAAGAAAGUAUUUUCCACAUUGUCCGUACUUACGACAAACUUUGUUCCCAACAAGUAAACACGUCAGAUUUGUAAGCAAUGAAUAACAACAACCAUCUCUUUCUCAUGAGCUGAAUACCUUUACUCCGCUUCAUUCAAUUUUCUGCUUUCGAAGGCCACAGGAUGACCUUCUUGAACCAGCACGCCUCGAACAGGCUUGUCGGAUGCAUCUGUAUGAACUUCAAAGGGCAACUAAAAAUCAGCAAGCCGCAAGAUAGGUUAUGAGGCAGUGGCUUUUUUCAACACAUCAAAUACAACAUUGCAUUUUUCUGACCAAUCCCACCUAACGUUCUUCUUCAACAAAUCCGUCAAAGGAGAAGCUUUCUUUGAGUAACAAGCAAUGAAUUUAAGAUAAUAGUUAUCCAAUCCGAGUAAAGAUCUCAAUUCUUUCAUAGAUUUAGGCGCUUGCCACUCUACAAUGACCUGCACCUUUUUUGGGUCCAUCCGCACCUGAUUUUGGCUCACCAAGUGCCAAAGAAAUUUGAUCUCCUGUUUAGCAAAUUCACACUUUUCCAUUUUCACAUACAAUUUGUACUCCCUCAAACGAGACAACACUUUUAUCAAGUGUGACAUAUGUUCAUCCAAAUUCCGACUAUAGAUAACAAUGUUGUCUAAGUAGACAACGACAAAGUCAUCUAAAUACUCAUAUAACACAUCAUUUAUGAGGUUGCAAAACGUAGCAGGGGCAUUUGUCAAUCAGAACGGCAUAACAAGGAAUUCAUAUGUGCCAUACCUCAUAACACAAGUAGUUUUAGACUCAUCACCUUCAGCUAUCUGUACCUGCCAAUAACAAGGCUGUAAAUCAAGUUCUGUGAACCAGCAAAAUUUGUUGAAUCUAUCCAUCAAGUCUUGCACCAAUGGAACAGGAUAUUUGUUUUUCACCGUCACUUUGUUCAACGCCCGAUAAUCAGCACACAUCCUAAGCGUCCCAUCCUGUUUCUUUUGAAAUAAAACAGGUGCACCAAAGGGAGCUUUAGAUGGAUGAAUCAGUCCUGCAUCAAGCAACUCGUUCAAUUGUUUCCGCAAUUCAACCAACUCUUUGGUGUCAUACGAUAAGGAGGUUGAGCAUGAGGCAUCGAACCCGGCAUCAACUCUAUCUUGUGAUCAAUAGCCCUCCGUGGUGGUAGAUUUUUAGGCAACUCCGGUGGCAUAACAUCAGCAAAGUCACUCAAAAUUUGAGCAACGCAAUCCGGCACUUCAACCUUCACAUCAGGCUUCACCUCGACCAUACUGCAGAUUUUUAGGCAACUCCGAUGCAUCACAUCAGCAAAGUCACUAAAAAUUUGAGCAACGGAGUCUGGCACUUCAACCUUGACAUCAGGCUUCAGCUCGACCAUUGCAGCAAGGAACGUAUCAUCUACCCUUUUUACCCUUUCUCGACCAUCAUGGCCAAAAUUAACGAAGCCUUACGUUGAGUUUCUUCUCUUCCAUAAGGAUAAACAACUUUCACAAAACCAGGAGCCAUUUCAUUCAUGAUCAUCACUCUGUCCAAGUGAGGCAUUGGAACAAAGCGAUGCUUCCGCAUAAAGUCAAUUCCGAGAAUGAUCUCAAAUUCUUCAAGAGGAAUCACUAUCAGAUUGACUUUCCCUUUCUAGUUCCCCACAGACAUAGGAACAUCAUAAGCCAUGCCCACAAUGGCUUGUGCUUUGGCAUUCACAGUUUUCAUGUAAGUGGGGCAUUUCGACACUCUCAAACCAUACUUAUACACCAAACUGGAUGAAACAAAAGUAUGAGUAGCGCCAAUAUCUACCAUAGCUAUCACACUUUUGUCUCCAAUUUUCAUUUCGAUGUCAAUAAGCAAGGAAUGAGGGUUCGUCUCGUCGCUUGUAGCAUUCACUAACGAGAUAACAUUCAACAAUUGCAAAGGAUUUACUAAGGCAACAGCAACUUCUUGGCCUUCUCCAUCCCGAUUAUUUUCUGUAGCAAGCAAAGCAUUUACCAGCUCCCGAUUCGGACAGUUUUUAGCAAGAUGAGGUCCUACGCACGUUCAGCAACCAUCGCCCUUUUUGUUAGCGAUGCCUUUGUUUCAAACAAGUCCAUCCAUAGCCUUGCCCUUUUCUACAACUUCUUUUCGAACUUCCUUCCUCCAUUCCCCUUUCUUCUCCAUAAUUUUCUUAGGUUUUGAAGUAGAAGGAAUUUCAGAAAGACUACGACUACUGCGAUAAUCCACCAAAGAAUCCACUGCAGCAAUCGCACUUGGGAGAUCUUUCACGUUCUAUCUCCUAAGUUCGUUCUGCGCCCAUGCUUGCAUUCCAGAAAAAAAUUGUGCGAUUUAUAAUCCUCCUACAUGUUCUGAAUAUCUAGCAUUAAGGAAGUGAAUUCCUUAAUAUAAUCAAGAAUAGAUCCAUUUUGCCUUAGACGUUUCAAGAUAUCACUAGAAAGCCAAGAUGCAUUGCUAGGUAAGAAUUGGUCCUUCAUUUCCUUUCGAAGUUUAGCCCACGUAUUUAUAUUGGGUCUGCCCGCACUUUCAUCAUCAGCCAUGUGAUUUCUCCACCACAAUUUAGCAUCCCAUGUUAGUUACAUGCUUGUUAUCGUGACUUUCUCUCCGACCGGAACAUUGGCAGCAGCAAAGUACUGCUUCAUAUCCCACAGAAAAUUCUUCAAUUCUUUAGCACUACGCGCUCCACCAAACGCCCUAGGAUUAGGGAUCUUCACUUUAGAACGUUCUUCACUCACUUGUCCUGGAGCAGCCAAUGCACGUCGAAGAACGAUAAUUUCAGCAUUCAAAGUUUCGAUCUCCUUCUUCAGAUCUUCAACUUUGCCAUCUGUGGCCUCACAUGUUUGUUGGAUCCCAUCACAAAAUUGAUCCAUUUCAUCCUUUAGAAGGUAAAUCUCAGUAAUUAGAUCUGCCAAGUCUAAAGGAUCAUCAGUCAUACCGAUCAGCGCCUCCACUGCACACGUUCGCGCAAAUCCGAUGUUGAUCCACCAUCCAUGGACACAGUAAAACCAAAGCUCUGAUACCAGUUGUUACAUGGCCAAUCUUUUGCAAAGAUUGACAUUGCACGGCAGUAGCAAACACACAACUACUCAGCCACAACUUUCGCACACGCAGCAUGACACUUAGAAUUUUCAGACUUUAGCCAAAACUAAAGAACACACAGAAUUACGGGUUAAACCCAACCUUUAUUAAUUCUCGCAGAAUAUACAAAGGACUCACAUUUAGACUAGGCUUCCAAAAUGUUGCUUCCUUGGCCAAACGAAAUUACACACAUAAAAAGGGGCUGCCAAUGGCAGUUUUACAAAUGGAGCAGUUGGGCCACUUUUUACAAUGUGCCAUGCACAUGACUUAACUAAAAACAAGGAAUCAAUCUGUUUGAAUUCGAAAUUCAAACCGUUCUCACGAAUUUGGACUUGUCUUUAGCAUUUUAGCCAACUUCUCAUGUGCCUUGCACAUGGUCUUAACUUCCACAGCACAUGCCAAGCACACUUCUUCAGUCACAUGUCUUGCACACUUGCUUUCCAGCUUUUGCCCACACUUAGCUUCUGCCUUACCCUGAUUUGGACCAUGCCUCGCCCAUAAUUCAUAGCCUCGCCUUGCCAUAAAUUAAGUCGUCACAAUUGUUCAGAGCUUGGUCAGGUGCGACGCUAUGGUCAUGUCAUGGAUAUUAAAUUCUCUGUCUAAUGAAAUACUAGCAAGUAGCGUGAUAUUUUCAGAAACUGCGAAGGAUAUGUGUCUUAAAUUGGAAUUGAGGUUUGACAAACCAUAUGGACUCAAAAUGUUCCGAUUAUAUAGGGAGUUAGUAGGACUGAAACAAGGAAGAAAUGACAUUGCUACAUAUUUUACAAAAUUGAUCAGUAUCUGUAAUGAACUAGAUAGUCUGAAUAUACACAUGAAAUGUAUCAGUUAGUGCAAAUGUGGUUCUAAGUUGCAAUUUUACAAGGCCGAAGAAGAUAAAAAAACUGUUUCAAUUCCUUAUAGGGUUAGAUUAGUGUUAUGCUGGGUUAGAGGAAGAAUUUUGAUGAUGAGCCCCCCUUGCCAUCACUCAAUCAAGCUUACUCUCUCCUUCUUCGAGAAGAAAGGUUGCAAAGGGAAGUGCAAUCUGGGCAGAGUGGUCAAAGCAGAGGCUUGCAUCAGUAGUCCUGUGUGACAAGAAAGUUCCACAGAAACUCAAGGGGAAAUUUUAUAGAGUUGUGGUUAGACCGGCCAUGUUGUAUGGGGCGGNNNNNNNNNNNNNNNNNNNNNNNNNNNNNNNNNNNNNNNNNNNNNNNNNNNNNNNNNNNNNNNNNNNNNNNNNNNNNNNNNNNNNNNNNNNNNNNNNNNNNNNNNNNNNNNNNNNNNNNNNNNNNNNNNNNNNNNNNNNNNNNNNNNNNNNNNNNNNNNNNNNNNNNNNNNNNNNNNNNNNNNNNNNNNNNNNNNNNNNNNNNNNNNNNNNNNNNNNNNNNNNNNNNNNNNNNNNNNNNNNNNNNNNNNNNNNNNNNNNNNNNNNNNNNNNNNNNNNNNNNNNNNNNNNNNNNNNNNNNNNNNNNNNNNNNNNNNNNNNNNNNNNNNNNNNNNNNNNNNNNNNNNNNNNNNNNNNNNNNNNNNUGAUAGGAAAGUCUGGAGGUCUAGUAUCAGGGUUGUAGGAUAGGGGCCCCUAGAGUUUUUCGUACUCCUCACCCAGGGUUGGGUGAGGCUCGGCAGGGCUAUCCAUAGAUGAUUUGUGUUUUCGAUUAAGUCUCCCUUAUGAUAGUUAUUUAUGGUAGUAACUGUAUGAUAUUAUUGCAUGCUAUUUAUUUACGGUUCUUAUGUUUAGAUAAUUAUUUACGCUAUUUCUGUUGGACUUACUAAUGCUNNNNNNNNNNNNNNNNNNNNNNNNNNNNNNNNNNNNNNNNNNNNNNNNNNNNNNNNNNNNNNNNNNNNNNNNNNNNNNNNNNNNNNNNNNNNNNNNNNNNNNNNNNNNNNNNNNNNNNNNNNNNNNNNNNNNNNNNNNNNNNNNNNNNNNNNNNNNNNNNNNNNNNNNNNCGGCUAGGGGUAAGGCUCGUCUACAUAUUACCCUCCCCAUACCCCACUUUGUGGAACUAUACUGGGUAGUUGUUGUUGUUGUUGUUGUUGUUGUUGAAAGUAAAGCUACAAAUGGACUAUUCUUGUUGCAGUUACCUCAUGAUGCCUGCCUUUCCACUUCAGCGUUUACAUCUUCUGUUCAUUCCAGUAUCCUGAGAAUUUGUAUAUAGAUAAGUCCGUAGUUACUUCCACCAAUGUACGAUCAGAUUUGUGCAUAAAUAAAAUUGUUUCAAAUACUGCCUCUUCUUUAAAUCCUUUAUAUUCUCAGGAUACUGUUUGGCAUUUUCGAUUAGGGCACAUUUUAUAUUCCAAUAUGAGGCAUAUACCUAAUCUGCACUGUGAUUUAUAUGAUUCUGAAGUCGUGGGUGAGUAGUACUUCAAAGACUUUUCUGAAUGAUUUGAAAGGAUGCUGCAGAUUGCAAACCUUAGUUAUGCAGUUUAUCCAUUCAUAAUUCCUCUGAAGUAGAUCCAUGGCAAAUGGAGCUUCUUAAUAGACUGCAACUCCCCGUUUCGGGUUAUCAGUGGAUAGAUGAGGAGGGACUGGUGAAUAAUACCAAGAACAAUGCAAGUAAGAUGACAAAUCCAAAGUUAACUUUGUUGCCUAUCAUUGCUUUGAUUCUCUAUGAAGUUUCAGGUGUUGAAGAUUCAGUAAGAUCGGCUUUGGGCCUUUGCUGCUAUCUUUGCUUGACUUCAAUCCGAAGCUUUAGUUACCGGUGCUUUCCUGAAAAUGGCGGAUAGGUAUUUGAAUUUCAUCAGUUGGCCUUUUCCGGGAUUACAAGAAGGCUUUUGGAAAUGACUUAGUGGUGUCACAUAUUAUGCUAUUUACCCGAGAUUGUUCCUUGAAAGCAUUCAAUUCCCAUCUUUAAGCACUUAUAUUGAAAGGAUUCUAUCCAUAUUGAGACACAAUCUCUGGCAUACUUGAAUUAUAGAGGUCUGCAUAUGCUUGGGUUUUUCAGCUGUUUUAUUGCAAAGUUUUUCACUUUUUUGAUUUCCUGUAAUGGCAAUUUUCUCAAUUCCUGGGAUUAAGCUAACUCAGUGGUUUACUGUGGAUUUCCAAGGCACUGCCUAGGCACCUUGUUUUUUGUGGUUUCAUAUCUUAAUUCACAUUAAGAGAUAAUGGAUACAAAUCCUAGCGAGUGGACUGAUGGUUUCGCAAAAGUUGAAAUGCUGAUUGUUGCCUUCUCACCAAAUGGUGUAUCCAGGCUGCUGCUGCAAUGACUAAUAUGGGGUUAUUUAAAGCUGAAACGGGCAGUGACGCCUUCCAGCUUCUUGGAAUGAGUGAAAUGGGACUGCUUCCUUCUAUAUUUGCUUCAAAGGUUCGACAGAUUUCCUGUUGAUUCUUCACAUAUUGUACUACAAUUUUAAUGCAUAAGCACUUGUAAUUCACAAGACUUUUUCAGAGACAAGAGAGGUUGCUCUGAUGGUAAGCAACCCUCACUUUCAACCGAAAGGUUGUUAGUUCGAUCUCUCCAAGAGCAAGGUGGGAAGUUCUUGGAGGGAAGGAUGCCGGGGGUCUAUUUGGAAACAGCCUCUUUACCCAAGGGUAGGGUAAGAUCUGCGUACAUACUACCCUCCACAUAUCCCACUAAGUUGAAUUAUACUGGUUUGUUGUUGUUGUUGGUAGAGCUUUAAGUCUCCACUAAACCUAGAAGCAUAGUAUUGCACUUCAUCUUAGCUACGCUCUCACAUAGUUACCAAUAUGCAUUUCAAAGAGAUGUUUGCUCUAGCGAGUUGUAUGGAGUAUGUAGAGUAUCACAUGCUAAACCAUAGUUAUUGGCAUCUUUUGUUUUUUUUUUUUUUGCGAAGGGCAUUUAGUUUGACCAGAAGAAACAAACUUGUCAGCUAAUGAUCUGGAGGACCUUAAGCGCAUGAGCCAGGUGUUUCUGAUGAAGCAUUUCUUAGCCUACUUGUGGAGUCAAAAAAGAUUCAAGAUUCUGAAACAUUGACAAUAGAAAGUUCAGAACUAGUGUAGAAGACAUUCAUAUACUUCACAAUUGGAUCAGAAUGGAUACAGAGAAAGUUCAAGCUAACUAAGAUAUGCCAUAAAAGAAAGAAAACUCAUCAUAAAUUUGACAAUUGUAAAAACUUUAUUUUUUAAACGAUGGCGUUAUGGUGGUAUUUUUUACCUCAAAUUUUAAGCCAUUAGUCGCCAACUUAAACACGUCGUACAUUGGAACAGAGUACGAUUAUUGGUUUAUCACCUUCUUUAAUCAACAACAGCUAAUUUGUUUUAUAUUACUACAUACAAAAAACAAGUUUAGCAAAUCAUACAUGUGAAGAAGGUCAACAACAUUGAUCAAUUAUGGUAUAUAAAAGUAAUGUUUUUUUUUUCUCACACAAGUAAGAAGCACAUUAUUUGGACUGUUUCCCUGUUCUUUGACCCUAUUUCGUCCUCGCUUUGAAAUGUGAUUUACAUAGAUAUUUAUUUUAAAAGAAAUAUGUCAAUCUGUGGAGAACCAUUUUACUAUGUGUUUGACUCAAAAGUUAUCGAAUACCUUCGAAAAAAUCCAGCAAAAGAGAUUGAGGGUAAAUCGUAAUCGAAGAUAAUAAGACCAUAAAAUAUUCCCAAUGCCUUGUUUGUAAUAGUUACAAUAGAUUGUGAGAGAGAUACAGAGAAUGGAGAAGAAAGUUCCAGAAAAAAGUAAGAGUGUGUAGUAUUCCCUUUUUUUUUACAAUGCUAGGACCCCCUUUAUAUAAUAAAGGGUCCUUCUUGAAAUAUUAAAGAAUAGAAAUGAAAUACACACUAUUGAGGGGUCGACGGAACUAUGGGGUCGUUCCUUCCGCUACCAUUGAGUAUUACUUCUACCCUGGCUUGUGUACGUUUGGCAGUUGGUCAUGCCGGUGUAGGGACGUGGUUCGUCAAAUUUAACCCCAUGCAGUUAGUCCCUCCGUUCGUCGGGGUCGCAGCGAGGUGCGUCCUCGAUGGACGAAAUCAACGCUUUCGUUUAGGGAGGGUUUGACUUUAUCCAAAAGCCAUGAUGUGACAGGUAAAAGACAAAACUGUUAGACCGCCGAAAUGUAAUACCUUUCUUUGGUAUGACAUCAGCAUUUGCAUGCGUCAUCAUUAUGCCUAUUCCCGAGGGAGCGCGAUAGGUACUCUAACGUUUGGUUUCCCGCGCCGGUUCGAAAUAUGUCUCUUCCAUUUUUGCGCCACCUAACCUUUUAAAUAGGGGAAGGGUUUAACCUGAUGCAAAUUUCAAUCAUUUGUAAGGAGCAUUCCAUCCUCUCAAGAAACACCUUCAUACUCCGGCACUCCCCUAUUGGUUGGAAAUUCCCUUCUCCUCCAUUGUACCGCAUACGAUUUUCUUUCGACCAGAAACCAUGCCUAAAUCUCGGCGAGAAAAUGCAAGGGUUCCUAAAGCUUCUCCAUCGAAUAUGCCACCUCCUUCUGGUGGUGGUGAGAAGGAGGAAGAAGAAGAUACUAGCCCUCUUACAGUGGAUACGUUGCUUUCAAAACGUCUCCUAUCCCGGAGUUAUUUUAGUAAAGAUUCUCCCGCACAACCUCCGGAACUCUCUGAGUUGCUACAAGAUCAUUUAGAUAGUAUUCGAGUGACGUACGGCAUACCUACUCAUAUGGAGAUAGUUCCAGCUGGGGAGGAUUACGUAGAUGUUCAUAGCCUGGGGUAUUGCACCUUUUACGAAUAUCCAUUCUUGAUUGGCUAUAGUCUCUCAUUUUCGCUUUGGCGGAGGAGCUCUGCCUCUUUUAUGACGUGUGCAUGUCUCAGCUUACGCCAUAUAUCCUGAAAGUAUGUCGGUUGCUAUCCAAAUACACGAAGUUGGUCGGGUGCAAGGUCUAUGUCCACCAUAUUUUGCAAUUAUUCAAUGCUGGCUACCUGAGAGGCACCAUGCUACACUUGAGGAGUCGUGGUACAAAGGGGUUGGUGGUCCAUACUGACGAGCGACCUAGUCGCAGGUAUUGGCCUAGGUAUUUAUUUCUACAUUAGGACCGAGCACUUGGUUUACAACCCUGUCGGGUUCCCAUAGAAGUGGAACUCGAAACGCGAGUAUCUCCAUUCACUAAGUUCCUUGUUACUUGUGACUUUUGCGGUUCUAACUUUUCCAUAUCAACCAUGGCUCACCCACCCUUGGAUCAUCAUCGGUAUCAGGAAGUGGGUUGCUGACUUGUUGCCUUAUGCGGAAGAUACUCGCAUGUGGCCUGCUUUCCUUCAGCGCUAUGGCACCGCAGCCCCAUUAGAUAGAUUUUUGACUUUGCUUAACAGGUUUUGCAAGUUCACUGACUUGUUUAUCUUCAUGGCGACAGGAUAAGGCGCUUCUAGAAGGAGGGUGGUAGUGCCUACUUUCGCGUGGUCUAGUGCUGCCUCAGAUUCUCAUGAGAUAUUAUGCACGUUCGUUUGAGGAGGCAUCCCAAUAGUUCCUUUGCAGGGAGUCGCAUCUGUGGCGACAGUUGUGAGAGAGUUGACAUCAUCGAUACCAUCUCCGUAGCCCAUAGAUGAGUCUCCUGAGGGAGAGGAAUCGAUAGAGAGACAAAGGCGGAGACUUGAGACGGGAAAGGGGGUGGCUACAAAAGACGAAGGAAGUGGUGUACCCCAACAAGUGCCCAGACCUGUUUUUAUGCCAACGACAUCCUUUCUGAGAGGUUGGCCCAUCAGAGGAGUACCGCUAUCUUUACUAGUUCGGCCCGUGCCACUGAGGAUGACUCAAUGACCAACGUCGAUGGAGUUGGCGAGGCAUUUGAGGAAUCGGAUUUUGAAAUUGCCCAGAAGGAUGUGGAUGAGCUCGUGAACGGCCUCACACGUGUGGAGAUGACAACUGAUGGGUUCAAUCAUCGAAUUAUGAUUCCUGGGGCUAAUAAUUUAUCGUUGAACAACGAACAUGCUGCAUCGACCCUUACUUUAUUAUGCGCCGCCUCUGAGAGCGAGAUGGUCAAAGCCAUCAAUGUUGCAUAAAUAUCAUGAAGGGUCACCAGCAUGGAUUUAUAGGUAACCCUUUUGUAUUUCGUAUGUUGUAAGGUUGGCUUGAUGUGUGUUGAUUUUUGUUUUUCCUUUCAGACCCUCGUUUUGGAGGUGGAGCGGAGAUGUCGUGAGCAUAAAAAGUCGACCAUCUUUGACAAGAUGGAAAAAAAGUAUCGGCGAUACCACUCCAAGCAUCAUGCGGUGGCAGACCUUUUCCAGCAAGACCCCGAGUUACAGGUGUUCUCUGAAGGUCUCGAUCUGAGGUAGUUCCAGUUAGAACGUAGGAGGGCUAAAUUGGAGAACACGGAUAACGAGCUAGUGAGGGUCGUGGAUCGUAACAUCGAAUUGGAAGUGCUCCUCAAGGUGAAAGAUGAUGAGCUUGAGCUCAGUCGGAGGUGGCGGCAGAGAAUUUCGAUUUCCAGCGAAAGGUAGCGGACUUGACCACUGAGCUUGAAGCUAGGAUGGCAAAAUUAAUGUUCUUAGGCAGGUUGCCCCCCAAGGUCUGAGGACGCGGUUCAACCAUCACAGCCUUCCUCAUCUCGUCCUACGUCUGAUCAGAGUGCGCGCUGCAAUACGCAUGAGAUAUGGAUUUUUGCGGAGGCCAAACUCGACGUGUAUAGGGAGCUUCACGCCGAGGGUCGAGCGACAGAGGUGGAAGUCCAGGAGCGGCGGCGCGAGGCUUGUACUGCCCGUGAAGCCUGCGGAUAUAGUUCUGAAUCCCCCGAUCAGGAAUGUUGCACUUUUGUGGAUGUUGAUCGGCUAGACUCCAACUCUUGAUAUAAUAAAGUUUAUCCCCCAGGAGAUGAUGAGAAAGGUGGCGAGCAGCCCUGAAUUUGUACAUGUUUUGUUAUUAUUAUUUGGAAUGUAGUGGGGCCCUUUCGCGGGAUUGAAUGUAGAUAUGUUUUUUGAUGUGAUAUAUAAAUCGCAUCUUUGUUGUUAUUCUUCUCUAAUCAUUUUUUUUUUUGUUUUUUGGUACCUAGACUCUAUUUAGGUGGUGUUUUUUGUUUAUUAAAAAUAUCAUCGUGACUUGAGCAGGGUCGAAAUGAUGUCGAUGGCCUUAGCCAUUAGGGUAUUUAUAGUGGUCACCGUUUUAGGCGAACGAGAUCUAUGGCCUAACAAGAUCUAUGGCCUUAGCCAUCAGGAUACUGCUUCGGCUGUCGCCGAAGUACGAAGUACUAUUCGUCUUGGUCGAACUGGGUCGAGCCUGGUCGAUGGCCUUAGCCAAUAGGAUGUUGCUUUGAGUGUCGUCGGAGUGCUAUCCAUCUUGGCCGAACUGGGUCGAACCCUGAUAGUGGCCUUAGCCAAUAGGAUGUUGGUUCGACCUUCGUCAAAGUGCUAUCCAUCGUGGUCGAACUGGGUUGAACCCUGAUGGUGGCCUUAGCCAAUAGGAUAUUGCUUCGACUGCCAUCGAAGUGCUAUCCAUCGUGGUCGAACCGGAUCGAACCCUGAUGGUGGCCUUAGCUAAUAGGAUGUUGCUUCGGCUGUCGUCGAAGUGUUAUUCAUCGUGGUUGAACUGGGUCGAACCCUGAUAGUGGCCUUAUCCAAUAGGAUGUUGCUUUGACUGUCGUCGAAGUGCUAUUCUUCAUGGUCGAACUGUGUCGAGCCUGAUGCCGAUGGCCUUAGCCGUUUGUCGAUUUUCAUAUGGACUUAGCUUUUGUCGAUUUUUGUAUGGCCUUAGCCGUUUAUCUAUUUUCGUAUGGCCUUAGCCGUUUGUUGAUUUUCUUUUGUUGGAGAAUUCCGUUUAUAUAAUGGAGAGACUUCUGUACGAUGGUGAAUUGUGUGUACAAUGUAGAGUUUUGUCUAUACAAUGGAGAUUUAACUAGUGUAGUCCCUUCAUUAUAUUGGCCCAAAGAUCGUGUCGACUGGCGGAUAUGAUGAACUUGCGCUCAGAUACCACCAGGUGUCCCCUUUUCUGCCUUGUUAAAAACCUCCCCGAGAAAACCUAACUGGGACAAAUUUCGGGUGAGGGAAAAAGAGUACGACUCGGGAGACACCUUCAGAAGUGGAAGUAUUUGAGGUGGGUGACGUUCCAGUUGUUUUAGAGUGUUUUUUCCUUCCAUUAUUUCCAAUUGGAAUGCUCCUUUGUUCGCUGCUGCCGUGAUUUUGAAUGGUUCGUCCCAGUUGGUUCCCAAUUUUCCUUCACUCGAAUCUUUUGACGCCAAUAUUUUGGCUUUGAGGACGUAGUCGCCAACUUUAAGUGAUCUUGUUUUGGUUUUAUUGUUGUAAUAUCUUUCUGCCUGCUAAUUCUGGGCCGUCAUUCUUAUAAGAGCUAUGUCUCUUCGUUCUUCGGCUUUGUCCAGAUCUUGCAAUCUGCUUUCAUCAUUUUCUACCCCGCUGGUAUGUGAAUAUCUCAGGCUUGGCUCCACAAUUUCAAGGGGUAUGACCGCGUCGGUCCCGUAGACCAGCGAGUACGGCGUUUCUCCCUUGCUAGAUUUGGGUGUGGUCUGGUACGCCCACAACACUUCAGGUAGUAAUUCGGGCCAUAGCCCUUUAGCUUCCUCGAGCUUCUUUUUCAGUAUGUUCAAUAUUUUUUUUAUUGGAGGACUCGGCUUGGAAGAGUAUCCUCUUAAUGUACCACAUCUCAAAGAACUAUGUUGUCUUCUUACCAAUGAACUGGGUGCCAUUGUCACAGGUGAUUUCCUUAGGGACUCCGAAACGGUAUAUGAUGUUUUUCCAUACAAAGGCGAUGACUUCCUGUUCGCGUAUCUGUGCAUAUGCACCCGCUUCCACCCACUUGGAAAAAUAGUCAGUCAAAACUAAAAGAAAACAUACAUUUCCUCGUCCGGCUGGUAGAGGACCGAUUAUAUCCCUUCCCCACUUGAUGAAGGGCCAAGGUGAGGUGAUAGAAUGGAGAAGCUCGCCCGGUUGGUAUAUCAGGGGGGCGUACCUUUGGCACUGUUCGCACCUUCGAACGUAAUCUGCCGCCUCUUUUUUCAUAGUAGGCCAGUAAUAACCGGCUCGGAUGAUGCAUCAAAAAAUGGCACGAUUACCUGCAUGAGCGCCAUAGUGCCUUCGUGCACCUCCUCAAAUACUUGUCUCGUUUGAUGUGGCGCGAGGCACUUAGCGAGGGGGCCAUUGGACGUCCUAUUGUAGAUAUCAUGAUUUAUCAGGUUGUAUCGGGCAGCUCGUAUGCAUAGCUUCUUGGAUUCUUUUUUGUCUUGUGGGAGUGUUUCGUCCUGCAGAUUAUAUACAAACUAGUUGCGCCUAUCCCAAGUAAGGCUUAAAGAGAGUACCUCGACGUGAUCGAUGGCUGAAUGAAGGAGGGUGACCACGCUUCUUUGCUGAUACUAUUGGUGGCCGCGACUAGUUUUGUUAAGCCAUGUACCUAGACAUUUUGUGUCCUAGGGAUUUGCUCGAAGCGAUAUUCGUCGAAUUCAGGCAUCAGUUUGCGGAUUUCUGAUUGGUAUUUUAGUAGCCUUUGUUCUUUGAUCUGGUAAGUCCCGCUGACUUGAUUUGCUAUGAGUUGGGAGUCGUAGUGAAGGAUGAGUCAACGGGCCCCAUAUUUGAUGGCUAAUUUCAUAGCUGCAAUCACAACCUCAUACUCGGCCUCGUUGUUAGUCAUCCCGAGGCAUCGUAUGGACUGACAAAUUAUUUUGCUUGUGGGGACUUUGAGAACAAGUUCUAGUCCUGAUCCCGAGGCAUUUGCGGCACCGUCAGUGUAGAGAGUCCAGAGGUCAGUGUGGGUGGCAGCGUUGAGGGAUUCUUUCUCCACCUCUGGCAGUAUCUUUGCGCUGAAGUCAGCGAUAAAGUCGGCAAGUACCUCCAACUUAAUGGGGGUUCUUGGGUGAUAGGACAUAUCAUGCUCGCUGAGCUCUAUGGCCCAUUUAGUGAGCCUACCCGAGAGUUUGGGCUUAUGUAGAAUGCUUCCCAGGGGGGAGGUCAUUAUUACUUUUAUGGGAUGACACUGAAAAUAGGGUCUAAGCUUUCGUGAAGCUACGACUAGUGCUAGAGCCAAUUUCUCGAGGUGUGGAGAACGUGUUUCAGCAUCUACUAAAGUUUUGCUGAUAUUGUAAAUAGGAGAUUGCGUACCUUUAUUUUUGCGGACCAAGACUGCGCUGACAGCAACUUCUGACAGUGCCAGAUACACCAGCAAACACUCGCCCGGGUUGGCUUUGACGAGUAACAACGGCGAAGAUAGAUAUGCUUUUAGUUUCCUCAGGGCCUCGAUGCAUUCCUCGUUCCACUGUAACCCAUAGUCCUUCCUCAAUACGCUAAAGAACUUAUGGCAUCUGUCGGAGGACCGCAAGAUGAAUUUUGAUAGGGCAGCUAUUCGCCCCAUCAAUUUCUGUACCUGUUUCUUGUAGUUCAAAGCUUUAGGUAUUGUGUCUAUGCCCUUCAUCUGAUCCGAGUUGAUUUCGAUACCUCGUUGUGAUAUGAGGAAACCUAGGAAUUUUCUCGAGGCCAUGCCGAAGGCAUACUUUUUCAGGUUUAACUUCAUCUUGUAUUGCCUCAGUAUCUCGAAGGCCUCUUACAAAUGAUCGAUGUGAUCCUCCUUUCUUGCCGACUUUACUAGAAUGUCGUCGACGUAGACCUCCCUAGUCUUGCCGAGCUGUUCCUUGAAAAUCUUGGUGACCAACCUUUGAUAUAUUUCUCCCGUGUUUUUGAGUCCGAAGGGCAUCACUUUAUUGCAGAACGUCCCUUGGUGGGUGAUGAAAGUUGCCUUUUCUUGAUCCUCUUCGGCCAUCAUAAUCUGGUUGUAGCCAGAAUAGGCAUCUAAGAAACUUAGCAGUUCGUGCCCUACGGUUAUGUCGAUCAGCUGGUCGAUGUGGGGCAACGAGAACGAGUCUUUUGGGCAUGCCUUGUUUAGGUCGGUGAAAACCACGCACAUUCUCCAUUUCCCAUUUUUCAUUUUAACCAUGACUACAUUAGUGACCCAUUGCAUCUAUUUCAAUUCUCUAAUGGAACUGUUGGCUAGUAACUUGUCCACUUCUUCACUAAACGCCUUGUUGAUUGCGGCGUUGAAUUUCCUUCUUAUAUGCCGCACGGCAGAUUUAGUGGGUCGACGUUUAGCUUAUGAGUGGUGAUGUCUUUUGGGAUACACGACAUGUCUGAAUGAGAGAAGGAAAAUAAAUCUGUGUGGUUAGCUAAGAAUUCAUUGUACUUACUUGUGUCGGAGAGAUUGUGCCCGAUGUAGGCUUUCUUUGAAUGGUCGGUAUCAUCCAAAUGGACCGGGUCGAGGUCCUUGACUAUCGCUUUGCAGGCUUCUACGACAUCUGGGUCUUUGAUGGCUUCUGCUGUCAGGUUGAUUUUAGUCCCCGACAUAGCUGAUUGUUAUGCCUCCGCGCUUGAUCCUUUUAGUUGCUUGGUAUGUGUACAGUCUUGGGCGAUCCGUUAGUAUUCGUGAGCGGUGCGUGGCUCACCCCGAAUGCUGAAUACUCCCCAUGGGGGGGGGAUUUAAUUACCUGGUAGAAGCUCGAGGGGACGUAUCGCAUGGCGUGUACCCAAGGAUGCCCUAUAAUGGUGUUGUAAGCCAUUUCUUGAUUCAUGACGUGGAAUGUGGUUUUCAGCGGGACCCCCCGCUAAUACUGGAAAUGAUAUCUCUCCGGAGGUCCGCUCCACUGUAUUGUUAAACCUAUUAGUGUUAUACAACGCGGUAUUACCUUAUCUUCAAAUCUCAUUUGUAUGAGGACUCUUGGAUGGAUGAUACAAGCGCCGAUCCCGUCAGCUACCAUGAUUCUCUUUACAUCAAUAUCAGUGAUAUUUAAAGUUUUAACUAAAGCAUCAUAAUAAGGAAAAGACAAACCGUUGGUACCAGACUUAUCGAACGUGAUACUAUCUUCGAAGUUGUCAUACUGCUCGUGAGCGAUCAUGCGCUUCAACUUGUGUGUGGUGGGGAAAUUUACGUGGUUGAUUGCUGAGUCGUCGCCACCACCGACGAUAUAUGUAUGGUGUGUGCUGGAGAAGGUGGUUUUGGUGGUCCUUGAGACUAGUCGCGUCCUCUAGCAAAAUUGGCCUUUCCAUUAUCGCUAAGCACCUCCUUCAGGUAUCCUUGGUCCAGAAUUCUGACCACCUCCUAUCGUAGGGCUAUAAAAUUUUCGAUCUUGUGUCCUCUUUCCCGAUGGAAUUCGCACAGGAUGUUUGACCUCCUUGCACUAGGAUCUGAUUUCAUUUUCUGCGGUCACUGCACCUUUGUGCCCAGCUUCUCCUGUGAGUACACUAUUUCUGAAGGGGACACACAAAAGUUAUGAGCAGAUAAUAACAUGGGUAUACCUCUUUCAUUUCGGAGUGGGGAAACAUGUCACUGCACGAUGUCUGGGUGCCUCGGAGGGGGUGGAUUGGGAGUUCUGACAUAGGGCUGAUGCCUUCUUUGUUGAAGCGUUGAGGUUGUUCCCGUCGUCCACCAUUGCAUCGAUCCAUUCUUAUCUCUGAAUGUAUUAACGUUAGUUAUUUGGUUGGAUCGUUAAUAUCAUCUUCGUCUGCUCUUACUUCGUCACAAUAAGCAUUGUGGAUCUCUUCCCAUGUGGUGGGGGGAUACUUCAUGAGUCGGCUAAUAAGCUUCUUGGUCGUUUUGAACCGUCUCAGUUUAGCCUAUUCUGGAAAUCUGUGACUGUCAUUCCUUCCGAUACGUUGAGCAAUCCCAUUCUUACCCUGAUGAAUCGGGCCAGGAAGUCCCUGAGUCCUUCACCUGUUGUUUGCCUGAUGGCAAAGAUAUCGUUGACCUUAGCUUCGGCCUUCUUUGAUCCUGCAUGAGCGAUGGAGAACUUUUCCACCAUCUCUUCGAAUGUCAAUAUUGAUCUAGCUGGCAGUUGGGAGUACCACGUUAAUGCCCCUCCUAUCAAAGUUUCUCCGAACUUUUUCAGCAGCAUGUAAGGCACUUGUUCUCUUGAUAAGUCGCUGCCAUUUAUAGCGGUCACGUGAUGGAUAAGAUGGUCUUCGGGAUCCGUAGUCCCGUCAUAUAUUCUCAAGUAUGAUGGCAUCUUGAAGGUGUUUGGGGUCGAGUGAGGGGCAGCUUCCUCACUGUACGGUUGUUCGACGAACCUUCCCACGUCGCAUUUCCGCAGUAGCUUAGGGGCGCCAGGAAUUUCGUCUACUCUUUCCUGGUGAUCUUUCAUUUGAUCACAGAGCGCUUUGUUCUCAUUCUCCAUUUCUUUCAUUUUCUUAAGGAUGGUUGCGAGUGCACUAUCGCUUGCGUCGAUAUCGAUGUGAGCGUUAUUUGUCCUUACAAAACCCGACUCACUGGUGUUGGUGGCGAUAUCUGCCAUUGACGAAUCUUUGAUAUUUCCCUGAGGUAAUUUUUCGAGCAUGCUACUUAGAGUGUUUCUCAACCAUUCCUCUAGUAGCUUUUUCACUACUGGGGGUGUUUCCUUAGUUGCAGAUGUAGAGGCUCCUUUUUCGUGUAAAAUCGUCAGAUCUUCGAGCGAAGAGGGUGAGAUCUCCCCCCUCCGGUGCACUACUAGGUGUGGCAUUCGUGGUGUUUUCUCUACCGGCCUCAUUGAAGGGGCCUAUGAGGUUGGUUGUGAUAUCUGCUAUCGUCUUCAUCCUUGCUUCUCUUUUUGCCAUUGUUGGUUUCUAAGGGGUAUGAAGAAUAGUGAUUGUUGCUUUGAUAUCCUAGGUGUAAACUAUGAUUUUGAUUACCGAAAUCCCCAGAUGAUGCCAACUUAUUUGACUCAAAAGUUAUCGAAUACCUUCCGAACAAAUCAACCGAAAGAGAUUGAUGGUAAAUCGUAAUCGAAGAUAAUAAGAUCCUAAGACAUUCCCAGCUUGUUUGUAAUAGUUAUAGUAGAUGUGAGAGAGAGAGAAAGAGAGAGAGAGAGAGAGAGAGAGGAGAAGAAAGUUCCAGAAAAAAGUAAGAGUUUGUAGUAUUCCCUUUUUCUUUACAAUGCUAGGACCCCGUUUAUAUAAUAAAGGGCCCUCCUUGAAAUAUUAAAGAAUAGAAAUGAAAUAAGUACACACUAUUGAGGGGUCGACGGAACUAUGGGGUCAUUCCUUCCGCUACCCUUGAGUCGUAAUUCUACUCUGGCUUGUGCACAUUCGGUGGUUGGUCAUGUGAUAGACUAGUUUUGUCAAGAAAUGCUAGAACUCGAGAUAUAUGUGAAGCAAGUAAACAACAUAUAGAUACUACUUUGGGAUUAAAUGGAAGCAAAGUAGUUUAUUUAACAUUAGUUAUUAAGGGGUAGUAUAUAUAAAAACUUCUCCAAAUAUACAUAAAACUAAGGUUGUAUUCUAGGCCGGGCCCGAGCCAAACAGACCUAAACGGGCUGAUCCAAACGGUCUCGGGCUUUAGGCGGGCCAGGAUUGGCGGUCCCGGGACAAAAGGUCCCGGUCUUUACGGUCCAAAUGGGUGGAACCGGCCCACGGCGGUCCUAAGCCCACAUGAUUCUGGGAUAAAUGGGCCGGGCUCGCAGGCCUAACGGGCCUUUUUCAUUCCUGAAUAUUUUUUAAUUAUUUUUUAUCUAAGACACUUUCUUAUAAACUACAUAUGUAUAUACUAAUAUAAAUUGCUUAUAUAUAGCUAUAUAAAUAAAUGUAGUAUAUAUAGUAUGUGUAUUAUAUAUAUAUAAGGGUAUAUUAUAUGUAUAUAUUAUUAUUUAUGCCUUAUAAUAUAUAUAUAUAUAUAUAUAUANNNNNNNNNNNNNNNNNNNNNNNNNNNNNNNNNNNNNNNNNNNNNNNNNNNNNNNNNNNNNNNNNNNNNNNNNNNNNNNNNNNNNNNNNNNNNNNNNNNNNNNNNNNNNNNNNNNNNNNNNNNNNNNNNNNNNNNNNNNNNNNNNNNNNNNNNNNNNNNNNNNNNNNNNNNNNNNNNNNNNNNNNNNNNNNNNNNNNNNNNNNNNNNNNNNNNNNNNNNNNNNNNNNNNNNNNNNNNNNNNNNNNNNNNNNNNNNNNNNNNNNNNNNNNNNNNNNNNNNNNNNNNNNNNNNNNNNNNNNNNNNNNNNNNNNNNNNNNNNNNNNNNNNNNNNNNNNNNNNNNNNNNNNNNNNNNNNNNNNNNNNNNNNNNNNNNNNNNNNNNNNNNNNNNNNNNNNNNNNNNNNNNNNNNNNNNNNNNNNNNNNNNNNNNNNNNNNNNNNNNNNNNNNNNNNNNNNNNNNNNNNNNNNNNNNNNNNNNNNNNNNNUAUUCAUAUUCAUGUUUAUAUUUAUAUAUAUAUAUAUAUAUACACUAUAUCAAAUUUAAACGCAAAAUAAAUUGCAAAGAAAUAUGCAAUGGAGUGUCUUAUAUAUCUUAUUAUUACGACAUUAACAAAGAAUGCUAAUAUCUUAGUCUUCCUCUCCCAAUGGAAUGAGCACAACAAGGUAAUACCAUAAUUAAAAGGAAAAAAACUAAGGAAGAUGUGCCAAAAUACAAGUAACAUGUAAGUCUAUGUAUUAUCUCUAACUUAUCUCAUAAAUCCUUCAAGGUCCGGAGGAAUUUCUAUUGGUGGUGGUGGAAAAGAAGAAUGUACAUCAUCGCUUCCGGGCGAAGCAGCAUCCUGCGCAAGUUCCGCUAGCAAUUCUUCAUAAGCUUCAUUUAUCUCCGGGUGUGAUUCUGCAAGUCCAAAAUUUCUUAUUUCCGAACGGAUCCAAUCUCUUAAGAUUACUGAUUUUUCCAAGCUCUCCCUCAUAGACACUCUAUGAUCAGCAAUUUGAAAUCUCUCUUGACUGAAUGCUCUCUCCAAUGCCACUGUUGAAGCUUGAAUAGAUAAAAUAUCUCAAGCCAUCCUUGAAAGAACUGGAUAGUGUUUUUGUUUGUCUUUCCACCAUUCCAGAACAUCGAAUGAGCCGUCGGGAUUCUUUGAUUCAAGUCCCUGCAACAAAUAAACUUGAAGCUUAUUUAGUUGUGAACUAUCACAAAAAUUAUCACCUCGAGAAGCCCUGAACUCCGUCCAGGAACUAAGGGCUUUUAGGCCCGCAAUUUUUUUUGAUGCUUGCGAACUAGAUGAAGUAGGAGUUGGAACAUUUGGUCUAUCAUGAUCUAAAGCAAGUUAAUAAGCAUUAUAAAUUGUUUGAGUAUUUAUUUUAAUUGAGUCUUCUGCAUCUCCAAGUGUAGCAAAUUCAUCAGCUGAAUGUGAUAAAGCUCUAUAAACGUUUGUAUACCAAAAGUGAAGACCUUCUAAUUUCGUUGUAGGAUUUAACAAUGCAACAACACCAAAAAUGGGGGGAUAGGGAAAAAAUAUUUUUUAGGGAAAAGAUAUUUUUUAAACUUAGCUUUCAUAGAAGUAAUAACUUCUUCAUAAAUUACUCCAUCCUCUGAAAAUUGAGAAAAUAAAUCUGCAGUGAGGCAAUAUAAACUAAACAGUUAUAAAUAGUAGGAUAAUAUUUCCCCAAUAAUUCAUUUGUAGCAACAUGAAAUUGUUCUAAAAAGUCUACAAGCAUUUUGACAUUAGUCCAAUCUUGAUUUGUAAGGUGCUCAUCAUCAUCACCAUCAUCAUCAUCAUCAUCAUCAUCAUCAUCACCUACACGAGCAUUAUAAAUUGCGGUUAUUGGAUUUCUAUAUUCAUAUGCAACAACUAACCUUUCAUACUUAUAAUUCCAUCUAGUCAGACAAGCCUUAGGAAUCUUUCUUUCUCUAAGGCCAAAUUCAUCAUAUUUUUUUAAAAUAGUCUCUAAGUCCACUUCUACGGUUUGAAUAAGAUAGCCAAUUAAAAGCCAUUUUAGCCUUUUUAAUUUCUACAUAUAAAACUUUCAUACUAGCCCCGACGAUUAAAUGGUAAAUAUGACAAGUACAUAUAACAUGAAAAAUAUUACUAAAUGCAAGAUUUAGUGAUGUUGUAAGCAAGCCUAUAGCGUUAGUGUUACUAGAAGCAUUAUAUAUUGAAACCGACAUAAUUUUAUCUCUAAUAUAAAAAUAUCUACAAAUAUCAGCAAUUAUGUUAGCCCCUGUAUGGCGUGAAUUAAUUAUUCUAUAAGCAAUAAUGCGCUUUUGUAUUAUCCACUCAUCAUCUAUCCAAUGACUUGUAAGAGUUAGAUAAUCAUAAUCUUUACCACUUCUACCAAUAUCAGUAGUAAUAGCAAUGCGACAAUCUGUAUGAGUAAAUAAAUAGUGCAAAUAUUAUUCAUAUUCAUGUUUAUAUUUAUAAAUAUCGCUCUUUACGAUUGCGCGAGGCCAUCCUUAAUAAGUAGGAUUAAAAACUCUUCUAAUAUAAUGCACAAAAUGAGGGUUAGAAGGAAAAUCAUAGGGUAAGCACAUAACAGUAACCAUUUUUGCCAAUUUUUCAUGAUCUUUAAUUGGAUCAUAAUAUAAAAUGCCACCGGUAACAGUAUUAAUUCCCUUUUGAACUAGAUUUGAACCUGCAUUAGGGUUAACCGUAGUAUCUACACUAGUCCCCUCUUGCGCAGCUUUCAUUUAAAAAAAUUUAGCUUUAUCUCUAGGGUGUAUUUUUAUGUGUCUAGUUAAACUACUCGUACUGCUACGGUCUCCAGUAAAUUUAUGAACCAAGCAAGACCCAUAAGUUUUACACUUAGUCUUAUUUUAUUCUCUUAGUUGAGUAAAAAAGUGCCAAACAAUAGAUAUUUCGGGCUGCUUAGAAGGCUGUCUAUUAAAAGUAAGGGGUACUAAAGGAGGGUCAGGCGGGGCAUUAUUUUUUGUGUUAUUAACAGGACCAGUAGGUGUAUCAUCUAAAUCCCGUUGCGUUUGAUUUUAAUCAUCGUUUUCCUCAUCAUUUUCAAAGAUAGUUUCAUUAUGAUAAAGAACAUUCAUAACUUCUUCAUUUAAUUGUUGACCUUGUGCAACAUCAUGGCAAUCACUAUCGAAAAAUUGAAAAUAAGGGUUAAUCACUAUCAAGAAUAAUAGGUGGAGGAGGACGAGUAACAUGUUUGGAUCGGGGAGCCGAGGGAAGAGUGGUAGCUUGACUACUAGAUUCACCAAUUUUACAUUUUUCCCUAUCCUUACCACCAAAAUUUUUUUACAAAGAAUAUGUCAUAUUAAUUAUAAUUAUACUGAAUAAAACUAACAAAACUAUAAUAUUAAAACUUAAGAGUUGGAAGGAGUUUACCGAAUUGACGAACAACUUCUUGAAAAUUGAAUAUCGUUGAAGACGUGAAUACUUCAAUUCACCAACUUCACAAUAUUUCACGAAAUUGCAAUAAUAAAGUAAGCAAAUAUAGAAGAAAAUUAGAGAGAUAUUGAUGAAUUUGUGAGUUAAAAUGAAAGAAUUUGGGCGGAGGGGGGUAUUUAUAUUUGAGAAUUGGGAAAAAUAUAAUUAUAUAAGUUUUGGAGCCAAAUGGCUAUUUUUGAAACUUUCCAAUGGAUCAAAAAACAAGGCCAACGGCUUGAUUUUAAAAUCAGUCUGUUGGCCAUUUUUUUAAUAAUUUUUUUUAAAUUAUUACCAUUGGAGCCCGUUGGCUCGUUUAACCGGUCCAGACCCGCCUGUCGGUCCCGGGCUUAACGGUCCCGGGCUUAUGGGAUUUUAUGGUUAGAUCGGUCCACGACGAGCUUUUGCACCACUAGGGCCCAGGACCAUUUUAACCGGCCCGUUUUGGGGCCAAAUAUCUAUUUUUUAAACUUUCAAACGUGGGGAUCAAUACCAACCUAUUCUUCUUAGCCUAACAGUCUAUUCGUGGAAGUAAAUUAUCCAAAAGUCUCCUUACUAGACCUAACAUUCUGUCAUCGCUUUCAGAUACAAGGAAGUUGUACUAGUUAUUAGACCAACUAUCUCACGCUCUCUCUCUCAAACCCCGCCAAAGGAGCGCCAACGGCUACCCUUUUUUUAAAAAAUAAAAAUAAAAUUUUUAAAAAAUAGUCGUUGGGGCAUGUUUGGCUCGUUGGACCCGGUUGAACCGACCCAAGCCCGCCCGCCGAUCCCGAGCUUAACGGUCCCAAUCUCACGAUCUUUUUGAGUUGAAUCGGCCUGCCACGGUCUUUUGCACCACUUAAAUCCAAGCCCACUAAACCCAUUAGGCUCGUUAGGACUGCGGUCCUGGACCGGUCCCGGGCCUAGACCGUCCCACAGUACAGCCUUACAUAAAACCCCCCAUUAAACUUGCCGCCAUUUAGUUGAGGAAGAAAACGGGACCGUGUUGAUCCGUAUAAAAAACAGCCAAACACGGCCUAAUGAAACGUGAUCAUUCACUUUCAUUUUACAAACAUGACGUUAGAAAAUCGCACGUGUGAAAUUGAGGCUUAUACAUGAGAAAAUAGUUCGUGUUUGGCUUAUGUUCAUUAACAAAUAAACCAAAAAUUAGUAGUACAAAAGACAGAAAAGAUCGCAAAAGCAUAACUCAAACAGAUAUUAAAAUAAAAUAAAAGACAGCUUUGAGGGAACACCUUGAACGUCGUUUCGAGCCACACAGGUCAAUUCCUAUUCUUCGUCUCUGUUUCAGUCCUGCCAUUAAUUCAAUUCAAUUUCGUUAAUUGAGUUUUAAUCUUCUCGUUUAAUCAUCAAAGGGUUUCUCUUAGUGCUAGUAAAAUGUUAAAAUUGUCUUUAGUUUUAGUUAGAUUCUUUUAUUCUUUGCUUAAUCCUUCUCUGCUUUCUCUCUUUAUGAUCCUCGAUCGCUUAAUCUGAAUUUGGGAUUAGCUUCCUUUUCUCUUAUAAAUUUUACUUCGUUUGAUAGUAAUCUCAAAUUGUUUAACUUAAUUUUUGUUCAUAGAGUUUAAUUGUACUUUGAAAAUACUAAAUUUGGGUAAUAACUUCAUCUUGAAUGCAUAUUGGUUUCAUAUUUUAAUUUGGAGCUAACAAAGAAUUGCUGACAUUGUCUUGGUCUAGUUAAUUCAUAGAUUCUGUUAAUUGGUAAUUAAGUAUGGACUUUCAAGCUUAAUUACCUUCCUUUGAUCUGUCCUGAAAAGUUGACUUUUUUACAAUGUAAACUAGGAAAAUGCAUUAUUGGGUAUCUGGUAGUAAAUGAUGCUAUUUGUUUCUAUUCUUUGCUGGAAUUCACGAAGGUCUUCGCAUUUUAUGUGUUAGGAGUUUCAAGUGAACAUGGUGACCAACCACCAUUAUACUCGAGUUGAUACAUUAGAGCUCAGAAAUCUAAUAUGUAGGAAGAUCGGACAGCAGAGAGCUGAAAAGUACUUCAAUGCGCUUAGAAGAUUUUUUAGCUCAAAACUUAGCAAGGUUGACUUUGAUAAGUCUUGCUUUCGUACCAUUGGAAGAGAGAAUAUCCACCUACAUAAUCGUCUCCUUCUAUCCAUAUUGAAAAAUGCCUCUUUGGCUAAAGUUCCUCCACCGAAACCUCAAAAGGUUGAAGAAUCUCUCAGCAUCAGAGUCGGGAAUGGUUAUCAGAGGAGUUGUCUGCAGUCUCUCUGUGGUGAUGCAUUUCCCUCAUCACCUCGCAAAACCAGGUCUCCAGUAAGUAGAUACAGAAGGUUCCGGGAUCGUCCUAGUCCUCUUGGACCACUUGGGAAGAGUCCUUCUAUUACUUGUGAAGAAGCAACGCCUAGGAUACAAGAACAGGAAAGUGCCACAGAAUUGCAUUCUCUUGGUAGCAGACCUCCAGUUGAAGUUGCAUCUGUAGAAGAUGGGGAAGAAGUUGAACAAUGUGCUGGAAGUCCAAGCAUACAAAGCAGAAGCCCCGUCACUGCCCCUUUUGGAAUUUCUGUGAAUGCAGGUGGUCCUCGAAAAGCUCUUCAUAGUGGAUCUAUAUAUAACUUUGGUCUGGAGACUUGUCAAAACCGUGGAGAAUUGCCUGGUAGUAUGUCACUGCUCCUUUUGGAAUUUAUGUGAAUGCAGGUGGUGCUCGAAAAGCCCUUCAUAGUGGAUCAUUAUAUAACUUUAGUCUUGAGACUUGUCAAAACCAUGGAGAAUUGCCUGGUAGUAGAUCACUAAGAAGCCGUUUGGAACGGAGGUUAGAGGCUGAGGGGCUUGGCAUAUCAUUGGACUGUGCUAACCUGCUAAAUAAUAGUUUAGAUGCAUUCUUGAAAAGACUGAUUGAACCUUGCAUAGGACUGGCUGGCUCACAACAUAGAAAUGAACGUGUUAGACAUAAUAAUUCCCAAAUACUGCCUGGAUGGUAUGGUCAAUAUCCUGGGAAUCAUACAGAAAGACAAACAAAAUCCACAUGUGCAAGGAUGUUAGAUUUUCGAGUGGCAAUGGAGAGAAAUCCUCGUAUACUUGGGGGAGAUUGGUCCACACUACUUGAGAAGGUCCGUGCUUGCGCUUCUGAAUAAACAGCCAAUCGCCAUCAACUUGUUACCUGAUGGAUAAGUGGAGAUUCCAGGCUUUUUGCGUCUAAUUUGAUGAUGAGGUCCUUAUCAUGAUUUCCCAUGAAAUGAAGAAUGGAAUUGUCAAAGGAAUACGCAUGAGAAUAUUGUAGGAAGUCGUCAGAUAUGCGUGGGGUGAAAUUUGUAUUCUAGGAGGAUUGGUCCCUUGAGGGACAUGUUUACAUAAAUUACUCAUAGAUAUUAUUUAACAAGCUCUUGGUCUUAAGUCAUUUUUCGUUUUACAGAUAGGGUUUUCUAUGAAACGUUUUCAUGAAAUAAAGCAUAUAGUUCCAACAGCUUUGUACUAGUGUAAGACUGAGAAGUUAUCUAGUGACCCAAAUUCUAAACCUUUAAUGAGCGCUUUCAGCUCCAAACCUUUUUCCCGGUUUCUGUCUCUUCAUGAAUCGACUUUUGCGACAUAAAGGCAAUGAUUGUUUUUCCUAUGUCAAGUCUAGAUGACAUUGUAUUUCUUGUUCCUGGAUUGAAGUGUUAAGUGCAUUCCUCCUGUACAAACGAAAAAAUAUAGAGAGACAUGCACUCUUUCCCUUAAUGUUCUUGAUGUUGAUCUGGCGUUUCUCCAAUGUGAUGCCUGAUCAGUGGCUUCAAGUGACGCAUGUUUCCAUUAUUGGCUGCUUUUUAAGAUCAUGUUUCAAAGGUUGAUUUUUUUUGGCAGUCUUCUAUCGCUAGCAUAUCAAAUUAUUACUCUUUCUUGGUUGUUUGCUUGUUAGUGCAUUUCUGUAUGUUGGUGGGGCUUUUUUUCUUUUUCAUCCUUCCGUUCUAGUCCAUCUAAAUGACAAAGCCCUUUAAAUUUUUGAGGUCGAGGUAUGCACUUCUUGCCCUUAAAUUCUUGAGCUUGAAUUGAGUUUGGCCGAUGAGAUGCCUGAUUGGUGGCUUCAAGUCUUCACGUGAUAUCAUUCCGAUAUUGGCUUCAAAAGGUAACAUCGCAGUUCAAUUAUUGGUUGCUUCUGGCAGUUUUCUGUAAGUCUUAUCUUCAUUCUUCAAGCUAUGGUAUACUUUCUUUUUAUUUUUAUUUUCAAUCUCACCUUGUGUUCAGCACUUUGAAAGCUUCCUGUUGGCUAACAUCAGAUUAUAUAAGUGGCUUAAUGUUUACUGUUAACUCUUCUCUACACCAACUUGCUCUAAACGUUUACUGUGGUAUGUGGGCACAUAUUCUGACAGCCUUGUUGCAGAAUUUUGCAUAUCCACACACAAGUGAAAUUGUGUUGCCUUGCAAUGAAGGCAAUCUAAUAAAUUAUGUGUGUACACGAACAAAUUUGAACUCAAAGGAAUAGAAACAGAUUCCAUAAGGUAAGCACAUUAAAUAUCAGACUCAUCUCUUCCGUCUUCAUAAUUCCUUCACAACAUGAAGAUGAACUUUCUUCUAUCUAUGUUUAUGCAUCCAUCUAAUAGCUGAUUAUUAUUGCGUGUUUCAUAUAGUAGAUGUAAAAACCACAUAGGAGGAUAGCUGUAUGAGGAGCAGUGAGAAUGGAGGAGCUGUAAAUGUAGUGACAUGGUCAGCAAGGAUUCGUAUUGCCAACCCCAACUUGCUUGGGACUAACAAAGUUGUUGUUGUUGUUGUUGUUGUUGUUGUUGUUGUUGUUGUUGCUGUAUGGUUCUCCUCAAGGUUGUCUGUUUCAUGGUCAGUUGCCUGGCUUAGUUGAUCUGCAGAGAAGAGGUUUUACAUUGAGCAGCAGAUGUUAACCUUUACUCCUGCAACUCAUGGGGGAUCAACGAUCACUUUUUGCACUGCUCAAUAGCUACUCAGGUAUUGCAAUGAAUCCUGUCUCUUUGAUGUUAAAUCACUGAACCAGGAGAACUAAGGAAAACUCUCAUUAGCUGGUGGUGAGGAAAAUGGUAAAAGCUCAAGAUACAUCCUAUGGGUAAUAUGGAAGGAGAGAAACACUCGUGGUUUUGAGAACACAAUAACAGCUGUACACACACUGGUAUAUAAAUGCUUGUACUUCAAUUGCCUUUUUGAGUUCCUUCACACUCUAUGGGGGACUAUUGGGAUUUCUCUCUCAUUUUUUUGAUAAACUUAAACAUUGCACAUAUUGGUGCAAUUGUACUCCCUUAGUACAUUGACCAACUCCUCCAUCUUGAGACAUAAAAAAAGUUAUUAUACACGGACAUUAUAAAGAUUAUUUGCAUAUGAGUGUAGUUUAACCUGUGAUAGCAUGUUACUUAUUUUAUCAUGUUACAAAUUGAUGUUUAUCAGAGAUUUACUUGUAAUUUCCUUAUAAGUGAUUGAUCGCGUAAUUCUUUUUACAGUCAGUUCAUAGAUCUUAAGACUCCUAAAUAUAAUAUUGCACAUUUCGUCCUAACUACUUGAUUGUGUAAAUCUCUGCUCUGGUCAAGGAGGGAUCAUCUCUCUCAACCUCAGAGAUCUGAUGAAGAAACUUCAAAGACAUAUCUUGUUGCUCCACUAAUUCUUGCGAAUUUGUAUUGUUGCGAUCGUGGAAAAUUUCAUUGCAAUUCUUUCUCAAAUCCUGCAACUUUUAACUGCAAUUUUUCGGCACAUUCUCUCUUAGAUUAUUAUAGCAUCUAUUCUUGUAAUUGCCAUCAAAGACUUUGAUUUCUUAAAUAACAAGAAUCUUUCCUUGAAUUAAAGUCAUGACAACUAAGUUCUCUUUCAUUGGAUUUUAACUUAGACCAGCUGACACUGAAUAACUUGGGUUUAUUAGUUUACCAGAAUCUGUUAAGUGAAAACCAAACCAAUUAAGUGAAUGAAUCUUUCGGGACUCCCAAGGUUUAGAAAAGGUUCAUUAAUACUUCCGAAGAGUUGGGAAUAAAUGUGGAGGUAUACUUAUAGACCAAGGAAAGAAUCCAGUCGAUUAGCAAAAAUCAUAUUAGACAAAGAAGAAGACAGUAGUAAGCAUUAAUAUAAUUCUCAAGAAAUACACCAAAAGAAUCUUCUGAUUCAACGGACCAAACAAAUGGAGAUCUCGAGGAUCUUACUUAAAUCUCAAAUAAUACAGUUACAUAUUAUUACAAGAAAAUAACACAAAGCAAGCAAAGCCGGACAUUUCGGGAAGCAAUACAAAAAAAAUUGGCAGAGGCAAUGGAAUUGCUCCAAAUAGGAGGAUGCAAAUGAGUUAAUAGUCAAGGAAGUUGUGGAAAAUUAUGAAAGUGAACGAUUUGAAUAUUAGUAGUAGGUUGGUGGGGGUGGAGGUGAAGCAUAUGUGGCAGAUUGCUCGUAGUUUUUAGGUGGUGGAGGUGAGGCAUAAUUGGAAAUUUGUUUAACGUAGUUUGUUGGAAGUGGAGGUGAGUAGUAUAAUGGCGAUUGUUCAUAGGUCUUUGGUGGAGGUGGCGGUGAUUCAUAAUAAGGUGGAGGUGGCGGUGAUUCAUAAUAAGGUGGAGGUGGAGACUUAUAAUUAAUUGGUGACUGCUCGUAGUAUUUUGAUGGUGUUGGCGGCGGCGGAGAGUAGUAUGAAGAUGACUGCUCAUUGUAUUUUGGUGGAGGCGGUGGAGAUUUGUAAGAAGAUGAUGAUUGCUCGUAGUAUUUUGGUGGAGGUGGAGGUGACUUGUCGUAUGAAGGUGACUUUACGUAAUACGCUGGUGGUGGUGGUGGAGAUUUGUAAUAAACUGGUGACUUGUAAUAUUUUGUUGGUGGCG
rnacentral:lncRNA from 1 species